GGGCAGCCAGGCCCCGGGCCAUGGGCCCCAUCCUAGGGAGGGCACAGGACGACCUGCAGGUCCUUGGGCAGGGAGCCGACGACUGUCUCGAUGUACAGCCGCGCCCGCUUCAGCGUCGCCUCCUUCACGGGGAGCUGGUGGCCCUGUGCCCGAACCUGCAGGGGCAGCGGUGGUCAGGGGCAGGCGACCUUCACAUCUGGCUGGCCGAGGUGGGGCAGGGCUGGGAGGCAUCUCACCAGCCUCUCCCGAAGUUUCAGGACCAGAUCCACGACCUCCACCUCGGACUUGUCCUGCAUCCAGAUCUCGAGGUUCUGCGGGGACAAGAUGGGACCUUCCAUCGCCGAGGCUCUCGCCCAGCUCUGGGCCCGUGUCCGCCCCCCCCGCACUCUCCUCCGGCCCCUGUGUGGGGCUCGCACCCCUCUGUGCUCUCCCGCAGCCGAUCGCCCCCCUCACCGCCUCACAGAUGGCCUCGAGGUGCAGGGCCUCCAGCUUCUGGGCCAUCUCUUUGUGCCGCUGUCGGUACCAGCCAUCAAAAUGGGGGGACUUGAAAAACCGCCUGUGGGGGCAAGGGGCAGCAGGUGUGCGCUGACGCUGUGUGUUGAGGGAUGGGCACGGCCACCAGCAGCAGGGCCCAGGAGCCUACCUACUGUGCACCCACCUGUAGAGGCCCAGCCAGUCGCCCUUGAGGAGGCAGCCCGGCGCCCUCCUCCCCGCCGGCCAGGCCCCACCAGAGGGAUGAUGAAGCUCUGCGUGAGCUCCAGGAGGUGCUGCCUCAGCACUGCAGUCUGCACGUCCGACGGCCGCUUCCUCUGCAGGCCCUGGGGGGCGGGGCGAGGGCUGAGCCACAGCAGGCCGGCUGCGCCCCCUUCACACACCGAGCCCAGCUUCCCCGCCCCGGAGCACCCCCCAGCGGUACCUUAAGCAGUCGUCUGAGCAGGGCCUUGUCUCGGUGGAGGCGCAGACCCGGAGAGGCCCCGCGUUCCCAGGACCCUUGGGUGGAGGCCGGGGACCUCACCUGGCAUCUUGGGCUCCCCGAUGCGGAGAACGUGGGGCCAGUGCUGGAGCGUUUUGAUAAAGAAAGGGUUUGUGACUCCCAGGACCACGCUUGGUCUAGAGAGAGAGAGAGAGAGAGAGAGGGAGGGAGGGAGGAGAGGCAGACGCAGGCGGAGGGCGCAGGGCGCAGGGCGGGCAGGGCGGCACUUACGGGGCCUGCGUGCGCGUCGUGAACUCCUUGAACUCGCUAUCGUGGACGGUGAAGUAGGGGCGGUAGUCGCAGCAGAACUUGAGGGGCUGCAGGCAGCUGUGGGGAGGGACCCGCAGGGACAGUCAGUUCGCAGGGCUGGUCCGGGGCCCCCGGCCCCUCGCGUUGCCGCCCGACCCACCUGGUCAAGGCCAGCACCAUCUCCGAGGACACUGCGGGCGAGGGCGCCAGGACCAGCAGGGGCUCCCCAAGAAGCAUGAGCUCCCACAGCAGCUGCACGUGGGCCAGCACGGGCCGGAAGCACCUGGGCCGGCGGGGGCGUUGGGGAGGCCGGUGGGAGGCUCCCCAGCCCUUGCCCACCUGCCCCGACCCAGGCCCAGGCAGGCCCUGUCUGGGUGAAGGCUGGGCCUCACUCCAGAGGAAGGCGGCCGUGAGGCCUUGUGAAGAUGCCUGGCCUCGCGCCCCCGCCAUGCCUGAAACCAACAGCCCUGGCUCCCGCUGGGCCCAGCACAGGGCCAGAGGGUCUCCAAAGGUGGGGUCCUCUGCUGGCCCCCCAGAGAGGGCCCCUCUGGCAGCAUCUCUCACCACAGCUGCUCCCUUCCCUGCUCCUGCCUGCCAGGACCUGACUUCCUGCCCACGGUGCCCACUUCCUCUGGGGGCAGACAGCGGGGCACCGGGCUCCUCUUCUGCAGACUCUCCCUCUCAGAACGGGCGGGGGGCUAACUCCUGAUGUCCCCCAGCGCCCCCACCCCGAUGGGCUGAGCCCCGUGGGGUCACUCAUCACCUACCGGGGCGGCAGGUGGUGGCCUGCCAGGCUCACCUGAACAGGUCCAGCUCAUGGACACUGGUGAGGACGACCGGGGCUGGCAGCAGGUUCUGAGAGGAAGGGGGGUGGGGUCAGGCCGGGGGGAGGAUGACGCCUCACAAGCCCCGAGCAGCACAGGUCAUCCCGGGAGAGUCCCGGGGGCCGCAGUCCCUACCCACUUGCCUCCCGGCGCCCCACAGCCCUGCACGGAGACGCAGCCCCUGUGUCUGGGGUCUGGCCACCCCCCAGUAGGUGAGGUGGGGAGGCCCAGGCAGGUGGGAGGGUUGAGGGUUGAGGCAGGUAUGGGGCCGUCAGCCUGGGAGCAGGGCGCCCACCUUGUGGCUGCACUGCUUUGGAGGACCGGAUUCAGGCUUGUCUGCGCUGGAUGGGAUGUGCACCUAUGGGUGAAGGAAGCAGCUGCCAGUGGGGCCGGGUGGCGUGUCGACGCGCACUGGGGCCGUCCCACCCCAGCCAGGCAGCCCUCACCUGGAGGACGACUCCCAUGACAGGCAGGUUCAAGGUCUGCCCCGGCACAGGGGCCGGCCACUGGUCAAUCUCAUUGCAGACUGUGAACACAAGUGGCCAGCGUCAGAAGCCUGUCCUGGAGGAAGCUGCCCGCCGGAGCCACCAGGAGCUACAGCUGGGAUGAUGACGAGGCAGCUCUGGCAGCGCCUGCCGGCCACUCACCCGCUUCCAGGCAGGGCGCCAGCUUGUCGAAGUACUCGGGGGCAACCAGGCUCAGCAGCGCCUGGAACAGCCGGACGAAGGGCAGGCGGGACACCAGCACCAGAGACUGCAGGGCCCAGGGCUGGUGAGAUGUCGCCCCAGCCCCUUGGGACCCUGCAGGGACCCCUGAGGCCCAGCUCAUCCAGGGUCGCCCAGGGCAGGGUGUCCCACCGACUUCCCAGGAAUGGCCUGACCUGGGACUCCAGGCUAUUAGAAAACCCCAGGCCUUCAGAGGGAAAUGCACGUGGGCCAGGAUCGUGGGAUGGUCUCCCCAGGGCUCAAGCAGCCUUUGCUUUUGGUGUCUGAAUUCAAGACUGAAGUCGUCCUAAUCUUGAAAGUGUGACGAGGGCCCCCCUCCUCCCUCAGCGAGGAGCAGGGAGGCCUGGGCUAGAGCCGGGGCUGGGCGAGGGAGGGGCAGCGGAGCCUGUUCUCCAGAGGCCGCCCCCGCCCCCAAGUGGCACGGUGGCCCCCGCCCAGGGCCAAGUGGCUAGGGCUGCCGAGGGGUGGGUGCUCCUGGAGGCUCAGGACCCCCACCCCCCAGACCAUCAGCCUCUCCCGAUGGCUGCUGGCCCCCAACUCUCAGUGGGGCUACCCCAGAGCAACCAGCUGCUCACCUUCUGGAAGUAGCCCCUCUUCACAGAGCUGUCCUUCACCUGCCUGAAGUACACGUAGCCAAAGUAGUGUGCGGGCUCCCUCUGGAAGGAGGGGUAUCGGCCAGGCCACGCCCACUGCUCACCUCCCACCCGCCCCCUCGGACCCCCACGCAGGCUGCUGCGUGCUCUCCCCAGACCGGGAUCUGCCUGGGAGUCAGGGCCCCAGAAGGCAGGCAACCGCUCUCCAGGGACAUCUCCGCAGACACAGUGGUGAGCGGUUCAGGGGCCCAAGAGCACCGGCCUCUGCACACCAAGCCACGCCCUGGCGCACACGUGGAGCACAGGAAAAGCCCCAAGGACCCUGGCAAGUCCUCAGAAGCGCUGGCCCACCCCCAGUCGAGGCUGGGGUGCCGGGCCUGGCCUGCGGCAGUUGGAGACCCUGCUGGCUGGGGCUGGCCAGGCGCCUUGAAGGGCCGCUCACACCCGCCUGACCCUGGCCUGCAGGGGCAGGGGAGGAGCGCUGGAGAGGCAGCCCGGCUCACCUGCAGAGACACGGGGGCCCCACUGUCACAGUGCCUGUCAUCCGUGUGCCAGGGGCGCCUCUGCCCUCCACACUGACGAAUGCGGAAGCAGAACUGAGUAUCCCCGAGGCAGCCUGGGGAAGAGGUGGUCCCCUCACGCUGUGUCCGGGUUGGGCUGGAGCCUCUCCUGCCAGCAUGUGGGGCGGGGGGCCAGGGAGGGGGCGAAGCCCCUGCCGGGCUGCAAAUGCCUCAGAAAAGCCCAGCCCUCCAGUUCUGUGUCUCCCGACAGAGGUCCCCGUGUCUAGAUUCCUGCACCUAAGGGUUUAAACUCAGCACACAGAGCAGCACAGCCACAGCCCCGCAGCGCGUGCCCUGUGGGCAAGCACGGCCGGGGGCUUGUGUGGCCCGGCGUAGCCUGCCCGGGGAGGAAAACCAGGCCGACCCGGACACCUGAGCCCUGGAGAAGCCGAGGCCAGGACCCAGCUCCUGGUGACCCCUCUGCUGGGGUGAAGGAGACCAGACCCCACUGCCCAGAGACACCUCUUUCCGCGGGAACCGGGGAAACCGGCUGCCGCGGCGUGGGGCUCUGGCUGUCUCCCUGGAGCGGGAAGGGGGACCGGUGCUUACAGGCUGUGCAGGCCUGGCCGCAGGGGCUCUUGGGCAGCCUCAUCUCCCUCCUUCUUCUUCUCCCCACAGCCCCAGAGAGACACCCAGACCGGGGCGGGGCGGGGUGGCCUACCUGAGUGGGAGUCGGGAAAGGACAGGUAGCAGAUGCUGCUUUUCUGAAACACAGGAAAGCCAGUGAGGGCCUGCUCCCCGGGUGAGGUCUGCUCCGGAGAGGGCUGGGACCCACCUCCUUGUCCGUGAGCUGGAAGUCGCUGGGGUACACCAGCUGCGGGGGACACAGAGUACUCAGUGACAUGGGCUUGGCAGGCUUGGUGCUGGGCUGCAGGUGUGUCCCCCCCACCCCAGCACUGUCAGACCCUCUGGCUCUCCCCCACCUCUGGCUCCCUGCUGACCCCUCCUCCUCUCUUCAGGGCUCCAGCGCCCUGCCCUGCCUCCCCAGGCCCCUCUCGGCCCGAGGCCACUCCUGGCCCCCAUCCUUCCCUUUUCUCGGCCAGCGCACAACUGGGUGAGCUCCUGGACUCCCUUCUCACACCCCUCGCCCUCAAGGCCACUCGCCCAGACUGGGCCUCCCUGCCCCACGUCCCGACAGUCUGUCCCCAAAGCCUCCUCUCUCGCCUAGAGCAGAUGCAGGGCCCUGCCUCCUGGCCCCCACCUCCUGUACCCUCUCAGCGCUCCGAACCCAACCCCACCCAGCCAGAGGGUCUUAGGCUCUGCGGCUCCUCUGGGCCUGCUCUCCCAGACGGCCUGGCCAGCCUCCCCAUCCCGUCUUAACUCAGAUGUUACCUGACACUGGCACCCCUGCCUCUGAGCAUCUUCACUCCAACCCCUGCUAGUCAGGGGUCCGGGAGGUUCUGGCCUGCUCCCCGCUUGGAAUGUGACCCCUGGAGCACCCAGGCCCCUGGAGUGUAUGGUGAGCGUGACCAGCUGGACAGGCUCCACCUGGGAGACAGGCCACACUCUAGGGGAGCCAGUAGCCCUGUACGCAGGCAAAUGGCCAGAAUGGAUUUCUUUGCAGGAAAGGAAAAAGGCAGGGAACCUCCAGAGCCCUCACUCCCUGCAGGCCCCCAAGUGUCUCCUGGGGACCUGGUGCGCCUUGGGCAUCACUGCUGCCCUGGCCCGUGCUCAGGUGCAGCAGGACGGCUCUCCCAGGAAGCGGCUAUGCCGGGAGCCAGGAGCUGAGGGCCUGCAUGCGUGGCCCCCUCCUUACUCUGUCGGCCAAACUCCCACGCGGAGGAGGACUUGGGUUCUGGCUGACAUGAGGCUUCCUCUGGGGUGUGCCCUGAGCCCCCAGGUGGUAAGGUACUGUGCCCUGGGACUUGCACUGUUGUGAUAAUGUAGCUUCUGUCUUUGUUUGCUCUGGGCCUGCUGCUCUGGGCCUAUUCCGUCUCCUCCGCUGCCACCAAGUGUCCUAAGGACAGGGACCGUGUCCCAGGUACUUCCCAGCCCCUGGCAGGGAGUAGACCCUCACCAGAUACUGUACAGUCACACCUCGUUUAUCACAUUUGCUUUAUUGUGCUUCACGGAUGUUGCAUUGUUUACAAAAUAAAGGUUUGUAGCAAUCCUACAGGUGCCACUUUUCCAGCAACACUUGCUCACUUUGCAUCUCUGCAUCAUAUUCUCGUAAUUUUCACAACAUCUCAAACUUUUUCAUUUUUAUAUUUGUUACAAGGUAUCUACAUUGUUUUUUAAGAUAUAAUGGUGUUUCUUGCAUACUUAAUAGACUCCAGUCUAGCGUAACCAUAACUUUUAUAUGCGCUGGGAAACCAGCAAAUCUGUGUGACUUGCUUUUCUGCAGUGCUCUGGAACCGAACCUGCAACAUCUCCAAGGUGUGCCUGUAUUUGUGGAGUGCGUGAAACAUGUCUCCAAAGAAUAUGGAACAGGUGGGGCAUGUGGAAAUCUCAAGGCGUCAGCUAAGGAGGCACCAAGAAGGAAGGGCCAAGAGGACGGAGGGGAGCCAGCCCAACAGUAUUUGUCUGUGGGGCGGACCCACAGGGGUACCUCGAGAUGGCUCCCAGAGAGGAGGGGCCGCAGGACCACUCGGGCCCCUGCGCGUCCUUGCUGGGAAGGGCAGAGGAAAGGCGGGCGCCUGGCAGCUGGCAGGGCCACGAUGGGCCCUCGGAGCUGAGGUCAGGGGUCUGAAUCUGGUCUGCAGUCACAGGAGUUUUGUAGCAUCUGAGCAGGCUCCACAGCCAUGCCCAGGGCUCCAAGUUCACUGUUCACAAGCUGGGAGCAGAGAUGGAGGGACGGCCCUGCCUGACUGAGAGGAAUGGAGCGGACCCUCAGAGAGGGCCAGAGGGCGAGGGUCUGCCGCACGAUGAACCCUGUCCCCUGGAACCACAGGGGUCUUGUCCUUUCCACGGGAGCCAGUCUGCAGGGGCUGCAGCUCCUGUAACCAAGUCGCCCCUGAGGAAGACAGAUGCAGCGAGCCUCGCCUUGCUGGAGAAGUGUGGCUUCCAGAGGCUGUGACACAGGCCGUCAAGGGGAACUGACUGAAGCUGAUGUGAAGAUACAGCGGCCUUCUAUUUGGCCUUUAAAAAGGGACGUAAAAGUGUCAAAUAAUGCCAUUCUCCUCACUGAAUUUGUUUCUGAAAAUGGUUGUUUUUGUGGAAAUAUAUAUAUUUUUAAAGUAAGUAAAUAAAUAUUUAUUUAUUUUCGGC